GAGGACGGCGGGCCGUUGCGGCGACGGCUGGCCGGUGCCGGGCCGGCCGAGCAGGAGGCCCUGCUCACGGACCUGGUCCGGUUUCAGACCGCCGCCA
rnacentral:tRNA from 1 species